rnacentral:rRNA from 1 species
UACGUAGGGUGCGAGCGUUAAUCGGAAUUACUGGGCGUAAAGCGUGCGCAGGCGGUGAUGUAAGACCGAUGUGAAAUCCCCGGGCUUAACCUGGGAACUGCAUUGGUGACUGCAUUGCUCGAGUAUGGCAGAGGGGGGUGGAAUUCCACGUGUAGCAGUGAAAUGCGUAGAGAUGCGGAGGAACACCGAUGGCGAAGGCAGCCCCCUGGGCCAAUACUGACGCUCAUGCACGAAAGCGUGGGGAGCAAACAGG